rnacentral:rRNA from 1 species
UACGUAGGGGGCGAGCGUUGUCCGGAUUCAUUGGGCGUAAAGAGCUCGUAGGCGGCUUGGCAAGUCGGGUGUGAAAACUUCAGGCUCAACCUGGAGCGGCCACUCGAUACUGCCAUGGCUUGAGUCCGGUAGGGGACCACGGAAUUCCUGGUGUAGCGGUGAAAUGCGCAGAUAUCAGGAGGAACACCGGUGGCGAAGGCGGUGGUCUGGGCCGGCACUGACGCUGAGGAGCGAAAGCGUGGGGAGCGAACAGG